rnacentral:rRNA from 1 species
UACGGGGGGGGCAAGCGUUGUUCGGAAUUACUGGGCGUAAAGGGCUCGUAGGCGGCCAACUAAGUCGGAUGUGAAAUCCCCAGGCUCAACUUGGGAACUGCAUCCGAUACUGGAUGGCUUGAAUUCGGGAGAGGGAUGCAGAAUUCCAGGUGUAGCGGUGAAAUGCGUAGAUAUCAGGAGGAACACCUGUGGCGAAAGCGGCUCACUGGACCACAACUGACGCUGGAGGCGCGACAGCGUGGGGAGCAAACAGG